UAAAAUAAAGUCAUUAACCCAGAGCGAAGCACUAAGCAAAUGGCAUGAAAGGUGCCUUUAGUCACGAUAAUUUUCUCUGUUAUUAGCAGCCUCCUUCCUUGGUCCGCUUGCUGCUGGAUGAUUUACUGCUUGGAGAAUUUGUCAGCUCUUUCAUAAUUUAUUGAAUCUGGAUAAACCCUUAAAGCUCAGCUGUUUUCACGUCUGGAUUUUUAAUGCCAUGGCGCACAAAACAUGGAAACAAAGGAUGGAGUUAUACAGGAGAUGGGGUUUGUCUGAAGAUGAGAUUUGGUUUAUUUUCUGAAAGCAUCCCAGAUGUUUGACUUUAUCUGAGAAGCAGGUCAUUGGCACAAUGAAUUUUCUUGUGUGCAAGAUGGGUUGGCAGCCUGCUUCUGUUGCCAGAGUUCCAUGUGUUCAUUUUGCGUUUAAAGGUUUGAUUAAGGAAUCUUCAGUGUUGAUACUUUCUUAAAAGCACUUCAUGCUAAAGUAUGUGAUCAAGUGUCAAGAACAGUAGCAUCAAUUGUUGGAUCUCUUUCAGGGAAAAAUGGGUCUUACAUAACUUGGCUUUGGCUUUGAUGAUAAAUGUAGGAUUUCUGGGCUAAGAAAUAUAUGGCCUGCAGCAUGAGUGACUUUGAUAACUAACUUUUACUUCUCAUUAGAUAAUUUUUUCCCUUUUAAGCAAAAGAUGGUGGCAUCCAUUUUUUGUCUUGCAAUGAAUUGAGGCAAAGUCCUGCAUUUGAUUGCUUGUUUCCUAUAAGUCAAAGUGUUUCUUUUUUGGCUGAA